UACCAGCACCCCGAGUGGUCGGGACGUUUAUUGGGCCUAAAGCAUCCGUAGCCGGUUCUGCAAGUCUUCGGUUAAAUCCACCUGCUUAACAGAUGGGCCGCGGAAGAUACUAUAGAGCUGGGAGGCGGGAGAGGCAAGCGGUACUCGAUGGGUAGGGGUAAAAUCCGUUGAUCCAUUGAAGACCACCAGUGGCGAAGGCGGCUUGCCAGAACGCGCUCGACGGUGAGGGAUGAAAGCUGGGGGAGCAAACCGG
rnacentral:rRNA from 1 species